CCUACGGGGGGCUGCAGUGGGGAAUAUUGCACAAUGGGGGAAACCCUGAUGCAGCGACGCCGCGUGAGUGAAGAAGUAAUUCGUUAUGUAAAGCUCUAUCAGCAGGGAAGAAAAUGACGGUACCUGAGUAAGAAGCCCCGGCUAACUACUUUCCAUCAUCCUCUUUAAUACGUAUUUUUCAAUCGUUAUCCGGAUUUACUGGGUGUAAAGGGAGCGUAGACGGCAGUGCAAGUCUGGAGUGAAAGGCGGGGGCUCAACCCCCGGACUGCUCUGGAAACUGUACGGCUGGAGUGCAGGAGAGGGAAGUGGAAUUCCUAGUGUAGCGGUGAAAUGCGUAGAUAUUAGGAGGAACACAAGUGGCGAAGGAGGCUUACUGGACUGUAACUGACGUUGAGGCUCGAAAGCGUGGGGAGCAAACAGGAUUAGAUACCCCGGUAGGC
rnacentral:rRNA from 1 species